UGGGAAGAGGCUAGGGCUCCAGU
rnacentral:miRNA from 1 species